rnacentral:snRNA from 1 species
GGAUGUGAGGGCAAUCUGGCUGCGACAUCUGUCACCCUAUUGAUCGCCAGGGUUGAUUCGGCUGAUCUGGCUGGCUAGGCGGGUGUCCCCCUCCUCCCUCACUGAUCCAUGUGCAUCCCUCCUGAAGCUGCGCACUCGGUCGAAGAGGACGACCUUCCCCCCAGAGGAGAGGACCGGUCUUCGGUCCAGGGUAUACGAGUAGCUGGGCUCCCCUGCUAGAACUCCAAACAAGCUCUCAAAGAAUAGACUUCAUGUAAUUCAUUCAAAACCCUGACCUUCUGAGCAUCCCAUAGAGUCCAAUACCUAGGCCGCCAGAGAUG